rnacentral:rRNA from 1 species
CACGUAGUUAGCCGUGACUUUCUGGUUGGAUACCGUCGCUGCGUGAACAGUUACUCUCACGCACGUUCUUCUCCAACAACAGAGCUUUACGAGCCGAAACCCUUCUUCACUCACGCGGUGUUGCUCCAUCAGGCUUGCGCCCAUUGUGGAAGAUUCCCUACUGCUGCCUCCCGUAGGAGUAUGGACCGUGUCUCAGUUCCAUUGUGGCCGAUCAGUCUCUCAACUCGGCUAUGCAUCAUCGCCUUGGUAAGCCGUUACCUUACCAACUAGCUAAUGCACCGCAGGUCCAUCCCAGAGUGAUAGCCAAAGCCAUCUUUACAAACAAAGCCAUGUGGUCUUUUGUUGUUAUGCGGUAUUAGCAUCUGUUUCCAAAUUGUUACUCCCCCGCUCCGAGGGCAGGUUACCUACGUUGUUACCUCACCCGUCCGCCACUCACUGGUGAUCCCAAGUCAAUCAGGUGCAAGCACCAUACAAUUAGGUCGGGCCAGGUGCGUACG